rnacentral:rRNA from 1 species
UACGAAGGGGGCUAGCGUUGCUCGGAAUUACUGGGCGUAAAGGGAGCGUAGGCGGAUAGUUUAGUCAGAGGUGAAAGCCCAGGGCUCAACCUUGGAAUUGCCUUUGAUACUGGCUAUCUUGAGUACGGAAGAGGUAUGUGGAACUCCGAGUGUAGAGGUGAAAUUCGUAGAUAUUCGGAAGAACACCAGUGGCGAAGGCGACAUACUGGUCCGUUACUGACGCUGAGGCUCGGAAAGCGUGGGGAGCAAACAGG